UCGAGUUUAGGGUCCUCUGGGCCCAAAUCUCUCACCCCAUGUUUAACUACUCUUGUUGCUUUGGCGGGCCGUGGCAUUCGCCCCGCCGGCCGUAGGCUGGUGCGUGCCCGUCAGAGACCCUCUUAUACAACUCUUUUAAUUUGCAUGUCUGAAUACACACAAAAUAAAGCAAA
rnacentral:misc_RNA from 1 species